rnacentral:rRNA from 1 species
UAGAUGUUUGACGGUACUAUAUGAAUAAGCACCGGCUAACUCCGUGCCAGCAGCCGCGGUAAUACGGAGGGUGCAAGCGUUAUCCGGAUUUAUUGGGUUUAAAGGGUCCGCAGGCGGGCCGAUAAGUCAGUGGUGAAAUCUCAUAGCUUAACUAUGAAACUGCCGUUGAUACUGUCGGUCUUGAGUAAAUUAGAGGUAGCUGGAAUAAGUAGUGUAGCGGUGAAAUGCAUAGAUAUUACUUAGAACACCAAUUGCGAAGGCAGGUUACCAUGAUUUAACUGACGCUGAGGGACGAAAGCGUGGGGAGCGAACAGGAUUAGAUACCCUGGUAGUCCACGCCGUAAACGAUGCUAACUCGUUUUUGGGGCUUUACGCUUCAGAGACCAAGCGAAAGUGAUAAGUUAGCCACCUGGGGAGUACGUUCGCAAGAAUGAAACUCAAAGGAAUUGACGGGGGCCCGCACAAGCGGUGGAUUAUGUGGUUUAAUUCGAUGAUACGCGAGGAACCUUACCAAGACUUAAAUGGGAAAUGACAGGUUUAGAAAUAGAUCCUUCUUCGGACAUUUUUCAAGGUGCUGCAUGGUUGUCGUCAGCUCGUGCCGUGAGGUGUUAGGUUAAGUCCUGCAACGAGCGCAACCCCUGUCACUAGUUGCUAACAUUCAGUUGAGGACUCUAGUGAGACUGCCUACGCAAGUAGAGAGGAAGGUGGGGAUGACGUCAAAUCAUCACGGCCCUUACGUCUUGGGCCACACACGUAAUACAAUGGCCGGUACAGAGGGCAGCUACACAGCGAUGUGAUGCAAAUCUCGAAAGCCGGUCUCAGUUCGGAUUGGAGUCUGCAACUCGACUCUAUGAAGCUGGAAUCGCUAGUAAUCGCGCAUCAGCCAUGGCGCGGUGAAUACGUUCCCGGGCCUUGUACACACCGCCCGUCAAGCCAUGGAAGUCUGGGGUACCUGAAGUCGGUGACCGUAAAAGGAGCUGCCUAGGGUAAAACAGGUAACUAGGGCUAAGUCGUAACAAGGUAGCCGUACCGGAAGGUGCGGCUG